rnacentral:tRNA from 1 species
GGGCCCAUAGCUCAGUGGUAGAGCGCUGGCUUCGCAAGCCAGAGGUCGCGGGUUCGAGUCCCGCUGGGUCCA